CAGCAACCGGUUCCCACGAGCCCUGCGGGAGGGGCGGGGGGACGUUGCACGCGCGUCCCGGCUGCCGCGACCCAGCUGGAGUUUCAAGAUGCUCUACACCCAGGACUUUUUGAAGCUGCCUUCUCAACAGUGACAGUCAUGAAAAUGUGACCAUCACUGCAUUAGCAGAAAACAGAAAACACUGAUGAACAAUCCUGAAAAAAAUCCCCAUUAUGGUGGAGCUUACCUUCUAGUGAAAAGCUCUUUUUUCUCCACCUUAUCUCUUACUCUGGCAAAAGACCUGACCAGCCUCCUGUGAAGGAAACCGAAACUACACCUUGAGCAAUAACAACUGCCCAGAUGAAGAGCUCCAGCAGCCCAGACCACUCAGACCAGUUUGAGCUUAACUCCUGACUCACACCUGCGCAGAUGGACCAUGGAGUGACCCAUGGAGUGACCCAUGAAGUGACUGACACUACCCUUACCUCAUUGUAAUACUAAAAUCCCCACCCCAGGAAGAGCACAAGCCUCAUUUACAUGACGAUACAGUGUGUUUAUAGGCAUGUGUCCUUAAGGUGCAAACUUUACUUUAUGCCUGCCUCUACAUACAAUGACAAGGCUCUCCUUUCUAAAUAUUCAUCUUAACCCUAAAUAAAAGGAACCCAUUCACCCUUG